rnacentral:rRNA from 1 species
AUUGAACGCUGGCGGCAGGCUUAACACAUGCAAGUCGAGCGAGCGGCGGACGGGUGAGUAAUGUCUGGGAAACUGCCUGAUGGAGGGGAUAACUACUGGAAACGGUAGCUAAUACCGCAUACCAACCGAUUUUCCCAGAUGGGAUUAGCUAGUAGGUUGGGUAAUGGCUCACCUAGGCGACGACCCCUAGCUGGGCUGAGAGGAUGACCAGCCACACUGGAACUGAGGCAUGGUCCAGACGCCUACGGGAGGCAGCAGUGGGGAAUAUGUCACAAUGGGCGGAAGCUUGAUGCAGCCAUGCCGCGUGUGUGAAGAAGGCCGUCGGGUUGUAAAGCACUUUCAGCGAGGAGGCGUUACUCGCAGAAGAAGCACCGGCUAACUCCGUGCCAGCAGCCGCGGUAAUAC